rnacentral:rRNA from 1 species
UGGGGAAUAUUGCGCAAUGGGCGAAAGCCUGACGCAGCGACGCCGCGUGGGGGAUGACGGCCUUCGGGUUGUAAACCUCUUUCGACCGGGACGAAGCGUGAGUGACGGUACCGGUAGAAGAAGCACCGGCCAACUACGUGCCAGCAGCCGCGGUAAUACGUAGGGUGCGAGCGUUGUCCGGAAUUAUUGGGCGUAAAGAGCUCGUAGGCGGUGUGUCGCGUCGGUCGUGAAAACUUGGGGCUUAACCCUGAGCGUGCGGUCGAUACGGGCAUCACUUGAGUUCGGCAGGGGAGACUGGAAUUCCUGGUGUAGCGGUGAAAUGCGCAGAUAUCAGGAGGAACACCGGUGGCGAAGGCGGGUCUCUGGGCCGAUACUGACGCUGAGG